UGGGAGGAAAAAGAGGAUAGAGGGAGUGAAUAAGACGUGAGGAAAGACAGGAGGAGGGAUCAGAGACACAGGGGAGAGAGAAGAGAGGAGUAGAGAAGAGGAAGACGGGAUGGGAGAGGUGCAGAGAGAGAGGAGUAGAGGAAGGAGGACGGAACGGGAGAGGUGCAGAGAGAGAGAGAGGAGUAGAGGAGAGGAGGACGGGACGAGAGAGGUGCAGAGAGAGAGAGGAGUAGAGGAGAGGAGGAUGGGACGGGAGAGUUGCAGAGAGAGAGGAGUAGAGGAGAGGAGGAGAGGAGGAUGGGACAGGAGAGUUGCAGAGAGAGAGAGAGGAGUAGAGGAGAGGAGGACGGGACGGGAGAGUUACAGAGAGAGAGACGAGUAUAGGAGAGGAGGUCAGGAC
ensembl:lncRNA